rnacentral:rRNA from 1 species
GUUUACGGCCAUACCACCUUAGGCACGCCCGAUCUCGUCUGAUCUCGGAAGCUAAGCAGGGUCGGGCCUGGUUAGUACUUGAAUGGGUGACCGCCUUGGAAUACCAGGAGCUUUAAGCA